rnacentral:sRNA from 1 species
AUAAUUUUGUUUUAUGAUUAAAUUUUUAUUUUAGUAAAAAAAUUGAACCAAUUGAAAGUAAAGAAAUAUUAUGAUUGCAUGUAGAGAGUAUCUCAUAGUUUCUCACUUGAGAAACUUUCUACAUUCUCUCUUUUUUUUAAUUAUUAUUUUAUUAGUGAGAAACUCAAUAUUAAGAUACUCCUAAUGGAGAUGGUCUUAUUAUCUAUGCCGGUUUCACUUUUUCGUUUGCCUAACAUUACUCAAACAAACCAA